AACGCGAAGAACCUUACCAAGGUUUGACAUGGCCGGAAAAGCCUCAGAGAUGGGGUGUCCGUAAGGGUCGGUCACAGGUGGUGCAUGGCUGUCGUCAGCUCGUGUCGUGAGAUGUUGGGUUAAGUCCCGCAACGAGCGCAACCCUCGUCCUAUGUUGCCAGCGGGUAAUGCCGGGGACUCAUAGGAGACUGCCGGGGUCAACUCGGAGGAAGGUGGGGAUGACGUCAAGUCAUCAUGCCCCUUAUGUCUUGGGCUGCAAACAUGCUACAAUGGCCGGUACAAAGGGCUGCGAAACCGCAAGGUAGAGCGAAUCCCAAAAAGCCGGUCUCAGUUCGGAUUGGGGUCUGCAACUCGACCCCAUGAAGUCGGAGUCGCUAGUAAUCGCAGAUCAGCAACGCUGCGGUGAAUACGUUCCCGGGCCUUGUACACACCGACAUA
rnacentral:rRNA from 1 species